rnacentral:rRNA from 1 species
UGAAUACGAGAUGCUACGGCAUCGAAGCAGUCUAUGUCAUACUUCCAAGAAAAGCUUGCACUGUCAUAAACAAAUAAUGCCUGUACCAUAAUCGACACAGGUGGGUAGGUAGAGUAUACUAAGGGGCGCGAGAUAACUCUCUCUAAGGAACUCGGCAAAAUGACUCCGUAACUUCGGGAGAAGGAGUGCCUUAUUUUAUAAGGUUGCAAUAACAAGAUCCAAGCAACUUUUUACCAAAAACACAGGUCUCCGCUAAGUCGUAAGACGAUGUAUGGGGGCUGACGCCUGCCCAGUGCCAGAAGGUUAAAGAAGUUGGUUAGCAUUAGCGAAGCUGAUAACUGAAGCCCUGGUGAACGGCGGCCGUAACAAUAACGGUCCUAAGGUAGCGAAAUUCCUUGUCGGGUAAGUUCCGACCCGCACGAAAGGCGUAAUGAUUUGGAUACUGUCUCGGAGAGGGGCUCGGUGAAAUAGACUUGUCUGUGAAGAUGCGGACUACCUGCACCAGGACAGAAAGACCCUAUGAAGCUUUACUGUAACUUGAGAUUGAAAUUGGACUUCAUUUGCGCAGUAUAGGUGGGAGACGUUGAAAAUAUUCUUGCGGGAAUAUUGGAGUCAUCAGUGAGAUACCACUCUUAUAAUGUUAGAUUUCUAACUUUGUAUCAUUAUCUGGUCAAAGAACAGUCUCAGGCGGGCAGUUUGACUGGGGCGGUCGCCUCCCAAACGGUAACGGAGGCGCACAAAGGUUUCCUCUGAACGUGUAGAAAUCGUAUCUAGAGUGUAAAGGCAUAAGGAAGCUUGACUGUGAGACCUACAAGUCGAGCAGGGACGAAAGUCGGUCUUAGUGAUCUGACGGUGCUGAGUGGAAAGGCCGUCACUCAACGGAUAAAGUUACUCUAAGGAUAACAGGCUGAUCUCCCCCAAGAGUUCACAUCGACGGGGAGGUUUGGCACCUCGAUGUCGGCUCAUCGCAUCCUGGGGCGGUAGUACGUCCCAAGGGUUGGGCUGUUCGCCCAUGAAAGCGGUACGCGAGCUGGGUUCAGAACGUCGUGAGACAGUUCGGUCCAUAUCCGGUGUAGGCGUUAGAAUAUUGAGAGGAGCCUUCUUUAGUACGAGAGGACCGAGAAGGACAUACCUCUGGUGUACCAGUUAUCGUGCCAACGGUAAACGCUGGGUAGCUAUGUAUGGAGAGGAUAACCGCUGAAAGCAUCUAAGUGGGAAGCCCACCUCAAGAUGAGUAUUCU